rnacentral:rRNA from 1 species
GUACACGCUGUGACUAGCAUAUCAAUAAGCGGAGGAAAAGAAACUAACAAGGAUUCCCUCAGUAACGGCGAGUGAAGCGGGAAGAGCUCAAAUUUGAAAUCUUGAAAGGUCACCUUUCACGAAUUGUAGUUUAAAGAAGUGUUUUCUGUUACGAUCGUAAUAUAAGUUCUUUGGAAUAGGACAUCACAGAGGGUGAGAAUCCCGUCUAUGAUUGCGAUUUGUAGCUUUGUGAUACACUUUCAAAGAGUCGGAUUGUUUGGGAAUGCAGUCCAAAAUGGGUGGUAAAUUUCGUCUAAAGCUAAAUAUUGGCGAGAGACCGAUAGCGAACAAGUACCGUGAGGGAAAGAUGAAAAGAACUUUGAAAGGAGAGUUAAACAGUACGUGAAAUUGUCAAAAGGGAAGCGUUUGUCACCAGUGUUGUUUUCUCGAAAAUCAAUUAAAAAUGGCUCGAUUUUGUAUUGCUGAGACCUUAAAAGCUCACUGUACAUUUUUCGUGUCUUUUUUAAUGCACUUUUCGUUUAACAAGUCAACAUCAGUUUCUUUUGUUGUAAAGGGUCAUUGGAAGGUGGCUUUCUUUUCGGAGAAAGUGUUUAUAGCCUUUGGCCUCUGCAAUCGGAAGAGACUGAGGUCUGCAGCGUAGACUCUUCGGGGUUAGAUACAUUUGUGCUAAGUUAUAGCUUUUUAUAGACAACUUGUUGACUAUAAUUAGUCUUGUAGCUUACUCGCUUAUGCUAUUUUACCUACGCUUAGGAUGUUGAGUAGCGACAUACGCAC